UACGGGAGGCAGCAGUGGGGAAUAUUGCACAAUGGGCGAAAGCCUGAUGCAGCUAUGCCGCGUGUAUGAAGAAGGCCUUAGGGUUGUAAAGUACUUUCAUCGGGGAGGAAAAACAAAACUAAUAAUUUUAUUUCUUGACGUUACCCGAAAAAGAAGCACCGGCUAACUCCGUGCCAGCAGCCGCGGUAAUACGGAGGGUGCUAGCGUUAAUCAGAAUUACUGGGCGUAAAGAGCACGUAGGUGGUUUUUUUAAGUCAGAUGUGAAAUCCCUGGGCUUAACCUAGGAACUGCAUUUUGGAACUGAAAUACUAGAGUAUCGUAGAGGGAGGUAGAAUUCUAGGUGUAGCGGUGAAAUGCGUAGAUAUCUGGAGGAAUACCUGUGGCGAAAGCGGCCUCCUAAACGAAUACUGACACUGAGGUGCGAAAGCGUGGGGAGCAAACAGGGAUUAGAUACC
rnacentral:rRNA from 1 species